rnacentral:tRNA from 1 species
GGAGAUGUGGCUCAGUGGUAGAGCACUUGCCUGACAUGCAGGAUGCCUGGGGUUUGAUCCUCAGUACUACA